UACAGAGGGUGCAAACGUUGUUCGGAAUCACUGGGCAUAAAGCGUAUGUAGGCGGCUCCGUAAGUGUCGGGUGAAAUCCCACGGCCUACCCGUGGAACUGUUCGGCAUACUGCGGAGCUAGAGGAUGGUAGAGGAGAGCGGAACUCUUGGUGGAGCGGUGGAAUGCGUAGAUAUCAAGAGGAACACCGGUGGCGAAGGCGGCUCUCUGGUCCAUUACUGACGCUGAGGUACGAAAGCUAGGGGAGCAAACGGG
rnacentral:rRNA from 1 species